GAUGAACGCUGGCGGCGUGCCUAAUACAUGCGAGUCGAGCGAACGGACGAGAAGCUUGCUUCUCUGAUGUUAGCGGCGGACGGGUGAGUAACACGUGGAUAACCUACCUAUAAGACUGGGAUAACUUCGGGAAACCGUAGCUAAUACCGGAUAAUAUUUUGAACCGCAUGGUUCAAAAGUGAAAGACGGUCUUGCUGUCACUUAGAGAUGGAUCCGCGCUGCAUUAGCUAGUUGGUAAGGUAACGGCUUACCAAGGCAACGAUGCAUAGCCGACCUGAGAGGGUGAUCGCCCACACUGGAACCGAGACAAGGUCCUGACUCCUACGGGAGGAAGCAGUAGGGAAUCUUCCGCAAUGGGCGAAAGCCUGACGGAGCAACGCCGCGUGAGUGAUGAAGGUCUUCGGAUCGUAAAACUCUGUUAUUAGGGAAGAACAUAUGUGUAAGUAACUGUGCACAUCUUGACGGUACCUAAUCAGAAAGCCACGGCUAACUACGUG
rnacentral:rRNA from 1 species